GGUGUGUGACUUUUAUAUAAGGUUAUCUUCUUUACACUAAAUUAGCCAUUACUAGAUGCUGCAUAACAAACCAUAAUUUUUCUUCAGUUCAGAUUUGUUGAUCAUGAUUACAACCAAAAAACAAAUGUCACUGAUUCUCACAGGCGUGCUCACAAAAAGGACGGUGAAGAGGACAGUUUACACAUGCCUGUUAUGCAGAUUUCUUUGCACAGAAUGCACCUGAUCUAAAAUGGAUUGUUGGAAAUAUUUGUUAAGUGCUCUCUUUCUCUUCUUGUCAGGUUGCACCUUAGAGCAUUUCCCUGGAUGUUAUAACUCUGGAAAGAUUAUGGAUGGCUUUGUAUGGCUUGAUGAUUUUAGUUCCUUUAGGCUGUUGUAAGAUUGUAUUUGGUUCCGAACUGGUAUAUACUCUUUCAUGUAGAUGUACAAAUUUGCUUGUGACUGUUUUUGGGGUUAUGUUCCCAUUCUGUA